UGAGGUGCAAGUUCAAACUUUAAACUUGUACGGCAAGCAGAAGUACACGUUUGACAUUUCAAGUCCAAGUAAAAAUUGUUGAGGCACCCGUUCACAACAUCACAUGACUCAGUGAACGUCGCGCAUUGACUCACAGGAAAUAAGUUGAAAAAAAUGGCGGAAACAUUUUGCAUGGAGGAUUACCAGCAAAGGUAAAUAAACAAAUUAAACUGUUUAAAAGAAUUUAUAGGAUGUUUAAUAACACUAAAUAAUAAUUUUUUUUACUAUAAUUAGCGUCAUGUUUACUCUCCGAGAAACAUUAGGAAAGUUCCAAUGCGUUUUUCUUGUUAUCACGACACACUUCUGUUGAGAGAAGUAGUGGCUGUAAAUCCCUAUGCGUAUGAAAAUCCAAAAGGUCCUUGGAAAAGUAUAUCUGAAAAUUUACGGACAUAUUACACUGUGGACAGUAGAAGAUGCCGGGAAAGAACAACUUGAUGAUAUUAAUUAAUUCCAGUUAACUGCAUUUGACAAUAAUUUCAUUUGUAUACUUAUUGGAGACAUGUUUUUAUUGUUAUAAUUGAAUGAUCAAGCCAGUUUGCAAAGAUCUGGAACAGAAGAGGAAUUUACAGAACGUAAUUAACUUCUACAAGAAAUAAAAGAGUUAAAAUAUGAGGCCCAGAUAACAUCUGAGAAAUCACAACCACAAGCCAUUGCUGGGCAGCAAGUCAGGGAUGCAGCUAUGACAUCUUUAAGCGUAUCAUCUCCUAAGUUUCCAUCUGAUGAAGAUACCAAUGUCACAAAAAAAAGAAAACAAAACUUUCUUGUCUCAUACUUACAAAGCAAACAAGACCAAGAGCAUCAGUUGAAACAAGAAGAAUUAAAUUUAAAUAAAGAACGACUGAAACUGGAACAAGAAAAAUUAGAUUUGGAAAAAGCAAAAUUUGAUUUAGAGAGAAGAGAGAGAGAGAAGCAAGACUGAACCAAGAUAGAGAGGAAAGAAGAGUGUUUUUAGAAAAAUUUAGAGAGAAAAGAAAGAGAAGCGUUAUUAGAAAUACUUUUGAAAACUUUGAAGAAAAAUU